UACGUAGGGUGCAAGCGUUAAUCGGAAUUACUGGGCGUAAAGCGUGCGCAGGCGGUGAUGUAAGACCGAUGUGAAAUCCCCGGGCUUAACCUGGGAACUGCAUUGGUGACUGCAUUGCUAGAGUAUGGCAGAGGGGGGGUGGAAUUCCACGUGUAGCAGUGAAAUGCGUAGAGAUGUGGAGGAACACCGAUGGCGAAGGCAGCCCCCUGGGCCAAUACUGACGCUCAUGCACGAAAGCGUGGGGAGCAAACAGG
rnacentral:rRNA from 1 species